GGCCCUUUGGGGAAGUGGUUAACCCACCUCCCUCCGGAGGAGGAUAUCGUCGGUUCAAUCCCGGCAAGGGUCG
rnacentral:tRNA from 1 species